CGGACGGGUGAGUAACGCGUGGGUAACCUGCCUCAUACAGGGGGAUAACAGUUGGAAACGACUGCUAAUACCGCAUAAGCGCACAGGAUCGCAUGAUCCGGUGUGAAAAACUCCGGUGGUAUGAGAUGGACCCGCGUCUGAUUAGCCAGUUGGCAGGGUAACGGCCUACCAAAGCGACGAUCAGUAGCCGACCUGAGAGGGUGACCGGCCACAUUGGGACUGAGACACGGCCCAAACUCCUACGGGAGGCAGCAGUGGGGAAUAUUGCACAAUGGGGGAAACCCUGAUGCAGCGACGCCGCGUGAGCGAAGAAGUAUUUCGGUAUGUAAAGCUCUAUCAGCAGGGAAGAAGAAUGACGGUACCUGACUAAGAAGCACCGGCUAAAUACGUGCCAGCAGCCGCGGUAAUACGUAUGGUGCAAGCGUUAUCCGGAUUUACUGGGUGUAAAGGGAGCGCAGGCGGUGCGGCAAGUCUGAUGUGAAAGCCCGGGGCUCAACCCCGGUACUGCAUUGGAAACUGUCGUACUAGAGUGUCGGAGGGGUAAGUGGAAUUCCUAGUGUAGCGGUGAAAUGCGUAGAUAUUAGGAGGAACACCAGUGGCGAAGGCGGCUUACUG
rnacentral:rRNA from 1 species